ACGUUUGAGUUUCGUGGUGCGGGGAAAAAAGUUAUCGCUCCUCUGAAGACCAUAGAAGAAGAAGAAAAAGUUAUUGUGUUUUGUUUUCAUGCCAGGGUAAAAAAAAGUCACCUUUCAGUGGUGUCUUGACUCUUUUGUGAUUGUGUUGAAGCCGUUUGAAGACACCAAAGUGACCAGUACCUCUUAAGGAUGCGGAGUGAACCAGGCCCAGUUCAGAUCGUCACAGUGUGUAAGGAGAAUCACUCUUUUGCUUUGGACACAAAGGCUUUAGCUCAGGUUCUGUUGGCUCCCAAGGUCCGAGACAAACAUGUGGUGGUCCUGUCAGUGGCUGGAGCCUUCAGAAAGGGAAAGAGCUUCCUGCUUGAUUUCAUGCUUCGUUACUUAUACAGACAGAGUGAUGAAAACUGGCUGGGUCAAAAUGAUGAGCCCCUGACAGGAUUUUCUUGGAGAGGGGGUUCAGAACCAGAGACAACAGGCAUCCAGCUGUGGAGUGAAGUUUUCCCUGUAAAAAAGAGCGAUGGGACAGAGGUGGCAGUAGUGUUGAUGGACACUCAGGGAGCCUUUGAUAACCAGUCCACCGUGAAGGAUUGUGCCACCAUCUUUGCCCUCAGCACCAUGACAAGUUCCAUACAGAUCUACAAUCUGUCACAGAACAUACAAGAGGACGAUCUGCAGCAGCUACAGCUGUUCACGGAGUAUGGUCGUCUUGCUAUGGAUGAGAUCUUUCUGAAACCCUUUCAGUCUUUGAUGUUCCUAAUCAGGGACUGGAGCUUUCCCUAUGAAUAUGCGUACGGGUUUAAAGGAGGCAGUGAUUUCCUGGAUAAAAGAUUACAGGUUAAGGUGACCCAACAUGAGGAGCUGCAAACAGUGAGGCAGCACAUCCAUUCAUGCUUCACCAGCAUUUCUUGCUUCCUGUUACCUCACCCUGGAUUGAAUGUUGCCACCAGCCCUGCUUUUCGGGGACAGCUUAAGGACGUGGCCUCGGAGUUCAGAGAGCAGCUGAAGAGCCUCAUUCCCAAACUGCUGCACCCGGAUCGUCUGGCUGUGAAAGAAAUACAUGGAAACAAAGUCACCUGCCGGGGCUUGCUGGAGUACUUCAAGGCUUACAUCAAGAUUUACCAGGGAGAAGACUUGCCGCAGCCAAAGACGAUGCUUAUGGCUACAGCAGAGGCAAACAACCUGGCAGCCGUGGCAGCAGCCAAAGAUCAGUAUUACAAGAAUAUGGAGAAGGUGUGUGGGGGAGACUUGCCCUAUGUGUCUCCUGACUCUCUGGAGGAAAAGCAUCGCUUUUUUUUCGGAGAGGCUCUUCAUAACUUCUCCUCAACCAAGAAGAUGGGCGGACAAGAUUUUUGUAAGCGUUACCAAGCACAGCUGGAACAGGAGCUGGAGGACAUGUGGCAGUCAUACAGCAAGCACAAUGAGGCAAAAAAAUCUCUUGAGCGCCUUCCGGACACCUGCAGUUCUGUUUGUCUUGGUGUGCCUCCUCUAUGUGCUGUCAGGCGUGUUGCUCUUCAUUGGCCUGUCUACCUUCGCCUUGGUGUGUGACUGUACUCUGGGUGUGGUCAUGAUGUCAAUGCUGACGUGGGCCUUCAUCCGCUUCUCUGGUCGAUACCGGACUGUCGGAGGAGCCAUCGACCAGGCUGCAGGUGUCGUCCUGGAGCAGGCCACCGUGGUGUUGAACAAGUCAAGAAGUACAAGCAUUGGUCACCAGAAGAAAUCUCGUUAGAGGACCUCUGAACCUUCAUAAUCUCGAUGCAAUGCAACCAGAGCACAACACAAGCACACAUUCAGCACUAAAGCCUUAUCAUGCCACCCAUUGGAACAAACAUGCAGCUGAACUACAUUGGCACAUGGUAUAAAACAUGAUGCCAAUUCACCAGCAUCUUUAUUAUGCAGGUUCCUCUGCCUGUUAAACUCCAGGCUCAUAUAAAGGUGACUGGAGCAGGGAGUUAAACCAACCCAAUCCCUCUUAUUGAUACUUCUUGUCUUUAAUUGACACUCAUUUUACAAGUUUACAAUCGGUCUUAAGAGACAAGUUGAUGUUUACCUUUAAACUUACAAAACACUUACAUAUUUUCUAUUUCAGCUGAAUGGAUCUUUCUUGGCUGUAAUUUUGUUCAGAGAGGGGUAGUCAGGGUGUGCUUCAGCCAAAGCUUCUGCAGUAUAUCUUAUUACCUUUUUAAAAGCAAAAGUGCUGGCUUUAUAGCUUAUACAUUUAUACAUAUUUGUUUGUGGCUAUAUUUUUUUACUUUGUGGCCUUGAAAACAUUCCAUUCUUUUUGGGGAUUUGCUUUAUAUUUGAUAUAAACUAGUAUUUCCAUAAGAGGAUACGCACUUUCUGUAUAGCACAGUAUAUUUUGGGAGGCUGCAUGUAAUGGGAGUUUGGGUGAAUCUCACUGGUUUCUGUGCUUUACCAUUUAUUCCUUGAUGGAAAUGUCUUAGACUUUAUAGAUUUUGAUACAAUAUACUAGAAAUUAUACAUAGAAACUUAUAAUUAGCAAAACUUUCCAACUCCAAAGAUAAAACAUUGUAAUACUGACAGGUGUUGAACUUCCAAUAUAAUAAAACUAGCAACCAGUCAGCCGUAGAGUUCACUUUAAAUAUUUGAAUUAUGCAUUGGCAUUGUAGUCAUCACUUCAAACCUCAGUUAUUAAAUAUACUCAGUGUUAAACAUGCAUGGAACAAAUAAACAAGCAGGAUGUUUAAAUAGAAAGACAGAAAUGUAAGCAGUAGAAAUCUAAAGGAAAUGUGACUGAGUGCUGUCCCCGUUUGUACAUGUGUCUAUUUUCAGCAGCACGUGGACAGAUUCUGAUCAAAUUUGGUGGUUGUCAAAAUCCUUAACAUGUAGUAAUGUGAGUAUGCUUGUGAGAAAUUAUUCCCUGCAUAACACACUCACCAACCAUUCUUAGCCUCUGCUAUAAGCUCUGCUGUGAAAACACUCAUUAGCAGUUUAUCGAGUUCACAUUGAUGAUCUGGCUGCAGCCAUUUGUCGACUAUUUCACAGUUUUUAUUCAUUCUCCACAAAGGUUUUCAUCUAAACUUUGUACUUAGUAAACUGUAUAAGAAAACUUGGUCAAUGUUAAAUUUCUUUUUUUUGAAUAUGACAAAUAUUUGGUUUCUGAUUAAAUAAUCACUAUCGGCUUGAAAGUAUUGAGAGUCAGAGCUUUGCGUCAAAUGACUUCCACGUAAUGGUAGCAUAUUAUAUAAUAAAUAACCAUGUGACAGACAAGGACAAAUAAUAAAUGUGGGCUGACUUGUUUCUUUGGUCCUCAUUUACCUGCAGCCAUUUAACCAAUCAGCCGAGUCUUUGAAAAAUCAAUCAUACAGGGAAUUAAAAAGAUUUGACUACACCAUGGAUUGAUUAGGUUUUAGUUUUUCUUUGUGGGACCAAGCGGGGCUUCUCAGGCCAACUCGGAAUGAAUCAGGCAUUGGAAUAAAGGAUUGUUUGCAACCAUGCCCUACAUUUCUGAAUAUCAAAAUAAAUGCAGGUUCUUUUAGAGAAAUUAGAUUGGGGAAGUGGAAUGGCAAAAUUUAGUUUAGUGAAAUGAGCCUUCUAAAUGCAACAAGACUGUGUGACCUGAGAGCGAAAGUAGCAUCCUGUAGUCUAUACAGGUUUUACAUUGUGCACUUCAACAACUAACCAUAUCUUCCAUGACACUGUAGGUGUACGAUUUAAGUAUACAGGGCCAAAGGAGAAAAUGUGGAAAUUUGGAGGAUGAGAGACUUUCUCAGUCGCAAGAUUUUUGACCCUCACUUUGCACAUUCCAUUUCUGUACCUUUCCACAAGAGGAGGAAACUUCAAGUUCUUUUUUUCAUGCACUUAUUGUUGCUCUUCCCCUCCUCUUUGGUGCUUUUUGCACACAGCUUGUUCCAAAAGUAAAUAAAUGCAUGCAAUAUUGUGGUAACGGUUAAUGUAAUCUCUUGCAGGGCUAUGGUGGCCUUGACUUGAGAAAUGCAGUUUUUUUAAAAGAAUAAACAAAGCUUGAAACUGUUAA